UACGUAAUUGCACUGAGCUCGUCAGGGCAGAAUAGCACCAGGUGAAGCAAAUUCUUGCUAUUAGCAAGACAAUGCAGGGCUAUUUAACAGCAUCACGUGACUGCAUACACUGUUCAACUAAAGCGCAAUUAUGUUCUCUAACUAAAAACAACUGAGACAAAUUAAAGAGCGAUUAUCUGAACUAACGCACAACCAUGUUCUCUAACUAACAACAGCAGAAACAAAUUAAGUAAAGAUACGCUUACCCGAAACGCGAAAUAGUAGCGACGACACAAUCAGAUGCACAGUUCAGGAAAAGUUAGGAGAAGCGAAGUUCAGAAUCUGCAGCAUCCAUUGUUGAUUAUUAGAAAUAUUGCUGUUCUCGGUGAAGUAUUGCACAGCGUCAGUCAGAGACCGUGUGCGUGCAUCAGUAUAACCACACACGCACACCAUCUCUGUGGACAAAGGAAGCAGGUUGUAUUCAACUAUAUUGAACAGACAGAAGUUUUCAUACAUUCUUACCGGGUGCCCCAUGGAGAUUGGAGAUUUUUACCACAGCCAUUUAAUUCAGCAGGGAAGAAUAAUUUCCACAUUUUGUCCACCUCAACAAUCCUCAUGUGCAGUGGCUAAAAAGAUGUGUUGGGAAGUAAUAUGCUCUGGCCCGCUUCCAGCUAGCAGGAGCGACGAGGUCCUGUCAGUCAGCUGUGACCCCACUUUACAUGGGCUGGCUCUUGAUAGGCGGGUAUUGUUGUCCCCUCAUGACUUCAUGGGCUCUCGAUCCCUGUCCUAGUAGCUAUGCAGCCACGGACUAUUCCUGGCGGGGCCCCAAUUGUAAUUGUGAUUCCCCAAUUCAUACCAUUGUCACUUUACCCACUGAUUGUUUUGUUUUAAUUCCUUAAUCGCCCCCAUCUCUAGGUUACCCCAGACUGGUACGUAUCGCUCGUAUCUGAUCUGGGGGAGACUGGAGCAGGCCCCAAGAUGUAGACCCUUCUCAGGCUUGACUCGGGUGGUUGGGCUACCUAGCGGUGUUAACAAAAACCACUUGGGUCUAGCAAGGUAAAUAUCCAGCCCCCCUGGGUCCACUUGGACAGCACGCAGGGUGUGGUGGUCUGGGGCCACAGACCUUAAAUGGUGCCCAAUUUUCUAUUGGUGACUAGCACCACUCACACACCAGACCAUCAUGCACUACACGCGUGAAUCUGACUAACCAAAACCAGUUCGGGCUCUUUCAGAUUUCUUCACCCCUCUAAAUUGUUGCGUUUUGGGAAAAGACCACUAGGGCAUGCAGGAGAAAGAUGGACCUAAAAAACGGUUUAAAAACAAUUAUUCUUACCUUAAGUAUUUCGAUGAGAACUCAAAAAAAAUCCUUCAGGUGAUACCAGGUGUUAGACUGGCAGACUACUGUCCGUAUCAGCAGGCUACUUCAGCUCAGGUGGAUAAAGUAUUCAAAGAUUCUACAGCAAUGCCUUGCAAAUGAAGAAAUUAGAUGUGGCCAAAUGCAGCAGAGCUAAAAAGCUGCAUGAUUACUAAAUUACAUACAUUACUGUAAAACACUAAUGUACUAAACUUCCAUAUUUAUGCACAGUACUGUGCCACUAUACCAACUGUUACCGUACUCUCCAUUAUUUGUAUAUCCACAUCUGAGUGAUUGUUUUAUGUUUUCAGCAUUACUGCUUCUGCUAUAAUUACUGUUUAGGUGUUUAGUGCCUAAACAGUAAAAACACAAGCUUUCAGGUACAUUGUAUACUGUACUGAUAUCAAGUAGAGCUGAGCAAUGUCUAUAAAAAUAAUACUGUCGCUGAAAAAGUGUGAUGAGUGAUACUAUACUUUACCCAAAUUAUGAAUAUAAUCUAAUCUAAAUUAGUAUUGUAAAUGGUACAAGUGUCUUGCUUCAUUUAAGCCAUUUUCCAAGUCUCUGUGAUACUCACAUCUGCAGCCCCCUGAUAGGUUUGAACAAUGAAGUUGCUUUCUGCGUCUUAACUUCAUUCUGAAUACCCAUUCCCACACUCGCACUCUGUAACUGCUUCCCAUUCUUGGAGACAAAUGGCCACAAAUAGGCCCUGUUCAGACCUGGCAUUAAAAUGCAUCCGAUCACAAGUAGACAGCUCUAACUACAGGUGUGAAUGCACCGAAGAUGCAUUGAGGAUGCAUUGAGAUGCGAACACUCAGACCACAUUCGGAGGUGGUCUGGGUCGCAUAUGGCCACAUUCUUUUAGCAGUGUGUACACGCAUGCAUCCUGGGCCACAUUGAAGGACCGCCUAGUCAACUGACGUCCUCUGCGUAAGCGGAAGUAUGUACUCAUUCGCGUGCCAACGGCGUCAUAUUAAAGUUAUUUACAUUAAAAAUAUUAUUUUCUUUUAAUUUCCGGCAGACUAGGCACAGGUGUAUAUAUGUCUAUGACAGGUAGUGCAUUGCUGCCCCCCGCCAGUUAAAAACAACAACCCAUUUGGUCUUUGCUAACGGAAAUGAUGUACGUGUUUAUUUGCAUAUUGAGCAGGGAAGUGAUAUCCGAUCACAAGUGGUCACUCGAGAUACAUGUGGAGAUGCAUUCUGAUGCCAGGUGUGAGCUCACACAGUCUCGACUGAAUCUAGACACAAUCUGGAUAUAUCUGGAUAUAAAGUACAGGUCUGAACAGGGCCAUAGAGUUCAAUCACUGCUUAUAAGGAAAUACAAUGGCCACAGAUCAAAGGGGUGUCACUGGCAGCAGACAUUACAUUACAUUUGGGUGUCCCCAGGAAGUCUUGUGCAAUGUACAUUCCUUCCUGGGAAUGUUCACACAUGGCAAUCACCACACCUCUCAACAGAAUAAUUAAACCCUCAGCUGUGGCUGUCUCGUUGAGAUUCGUACGGAACGCUUGUCGUGGGACCGUGGCGAGUAUCCCUUUGCGCAUCGAGGUUCCAGACAAAGAUUCCCAAGAACCAUAAAUGGGUCUCAAUUGCCCAGAUUUGGCAUCUGUGCCCAGGGGUUGAACAGAACCGAGCAAAGCAGGCCACAAUUGUCUCAGUUUUGCUCUGCACAUGAAUAAAAAUGUAAUUGAUUUUCUGCAUUGAGUAAACUAAAUGAAAUUGGCUACAAUACUUAACAAUCAAUGGGAUAUGUCAACUCAGCUGUGAUACACAACAGACAUAUGGUAAAAAAUUACCCCCAGCUUCCCCCCCCCCUUCCCAGACAUAAAAAAUAAUGGAGACAAAUGUAAUAAAAAGGACACAUUACUACACUUUAUGGAACUGCAGAUCAAUAGAUUCAUUGUGGGGCAACACUAAAGCAUUUUUACAGUGUUUUUUUUUUUUUCCCCAGACAAUUUCAAUACUGUUGACAUUUGAUAAUGUAUCUAACAUAAAUUUCAGUGGGCAGAAAAGCAAAAAAACCUUUGAGCAAUUCCUGUAAGGAUGAAAAUGGUGAGAAAAUGUCACUGUACCAUACUGACAAACAGAACAAUGCAAAUGGUACAAACUUUAAA